rnacentral:rRNA from 14 species
AUCGAGCUGUUUUUCUGGAAAAUAAUUAUUCGCCUUUCGUACUAUACACCAACUCUGGUAGAUUUUUAAGAAUUAUUGAUGAAACAAGCAUAUUGAAUUCGGCAAAUUUUUUCUGUAACUUAGGAAUAAAGAAAAGCACAAAUAUCAUAUUCUUUGCUAUUUAUAACUUCGACUUGCGACUAUUUAAUAAAAAUACAUGAUUAUGCUAAUUUUUUAAAUAAGUAUAUAAUCUGACUUGUGCUCAAUGUUUGAUUGUCGAAUCUAUUUAUUUGUAUUUGCAAAUAAUUAAAGACUAAAUGAAUAGCAGCUUUAUUCUGAGAGUUGUAAUGUAGCGAAAUUCCUUGGCUGAUAAUUGUAGUCCUGCAUGAAUCAAGUAACGACACGUCAACUGUCAUAUGCUUAAGCUCUUGAAAAAUUGAAUUUUGAGUGAAGAUGCUCAAUUUUUUUACUAAGACGAAAAGACUCCAUGCAGCUUUAUAGUUCUCG